rnacentral:rRNA from 1 species
CAGUCGCCGCGGGAAUACGAAGGGUGCAAGCGUUACUCGGAAUUACUGGGCGUAAAGCGUGCGUAGGUGGUGGUUUAAGUCCGUUGUGAAAGCCCUGGGCUCAACCUGGGAAUUGCAGUGGAUACUGGGUCACUAGAGUGUGGUAGAGGAUAGUGGAAUUUCCGGUGUAGCAGUGAAAUGCGUAGAGAUCGGAAGGAACAUCUGUGGCGAAGGCGACUAUCUGGGCCAACACUGACGCUGAGGCACGAAAGCGUGGGGAGCAAACAGGAUUAGAUACCCCCGUAGUCCCUGUCUCUUAUAC